AGAGUUUGAUCAUGGCUCAGAGUGAACGCUGGCGGCAGGCCUAAUACAUGCAAGUCGAACGGCAGCACAGCAGAGCUUGCUCUGUGGGUGGCGAGUGGCGGACGGGUGAGGAAUACGUGGGAAUCUGCCCAGUCGUGGGGGAUAACGUAGGGAAACUUACGCUAAUGCCGCAUGCGCCCUUCGGGGAAAGCCGGGGACCUUCGGGCCUGGCGCGAUUGGAUGAGCCCACGUCGGAUUAGCUAGUUGGCGGGUAAAGGCCCACCAAGGCGACGAUCCGUAGCUGGUCUGAGAGGAUGAUCAGCCACACUGGAACUGAGACACGGUCCAGACUCCUACGGGAGGCAGCAGUAGGGAAUAUUGGACAAUGGGCGCAAGCCUGAUCCAGCCAUGCCGCGUGAGUGAAGAAGGCCCUCGGGUUGUAAAGCUCUUUUGUCCGGAAAGAAAAGCGCCGGGUUAAUACCCUGGUGUCCUGACGGUACCGGAAGAAUAAGCACCGGCUAACUUCGUG
rnacentral:rRNA from 1 species